AUGCGGUAAUCUGUAUAACCCGUAAAACGGUUCAUAGUCAAAUCAUUUACAAAUUACAAUUUUUCGAUCUAAUUAAGGAAAUUAGAGUUCAUCGGAUUGUAACUGCACAAAUCUAUUAAUCUGGCGUGAGUUUUUGUUCGUUUGAAGGAUUUGGACGUUUGGGUAUCCAUCAGCAACUGGAAGUCUGAAAUAAUCACCAGUUUGUGUAGUUAUCGUGGUGAAAAAGAUGGGGCUCUGGUUUGAACUAAGAAAUCUGCGUGUAAAAUAAUGGAGUACGAUGAACCAAUCAAGUUGAUGGAGAAGGAC